AUGACAGCUCUCUUCCAGUUACUGAUAGCAAUCCUCACCAUAGCCAAAGUCGGCGGACAAGAGGUUGUAUCACAAUAUCCUCCGGAGGUAACAGAUUUUGAAGGAAAAGACGUGACACUAAAAUGUAAUAUUUCAAGGUUGGACACUGCCUUCUGGUACAGGCAAUAUCCCGAUGGAAACCUUCAGUACUUGUUCAGGAUAUAUGGCUCUGGAAAGGUGGACAAAACUCCUGAUCUACCGGAACGUUUCACAGCCGAGCAGAUCAAGGAGAAUAAAGUAAUUAAGAUGCAGAUAUACGGGGCUGUUAUGGGUGACAGCGCUGUGUAUCACUGUGCCCUAAACCCCACACUGCUACAGGAAGGCAGAUACCCCGUACAAAAACUCAGCAGACAAUAA